AUUGAACGCUGGCGGCAGGCCUAACACAUGCAAGUCGAACGAGUGGCGGACGGGUGAGUAAUGCUUGGGAAUCUACCUGAUGGAGGGGGAUAACUACGGGAAACUGUAGCUAAUACCGCGUACCAUAGGAUGAGCCCAAGUGGGAUUAGGUAGUUGGUGAGGUAACGGCUCACCAAGCCGACGAUCCCUAGCUGGUCUGAGAGGAUGACCAGCCACACCGGAACUGAGACACGGCCCAGACUCCUACGGGAGGCAGCAGUGGGGAAUAUUGCACAAUGGGCGCAACCCUGACGCAGCCAUGCCGCGGGUAUGAAGAAGGCCUUCGGGUUGUAAAGUACUUUCAGUAGGGAGGCGUUACCUGCAGAAGAAGCACCGGCUAACUCCGUGCCAGCAGCCGCGGUAAUAC
rnacentral:rRNA from 1 species